AACGGACGCUGGCGGCAGGCUUAACACAUGCAAGUCGAGCGCCCCGCAAGGGGAGCGGCAGACGGGUGAGUAACGCGUGGGAAUCUACCCAUCUCUACGGAAUAACGCAUGGAAACGUGUGCUAAUACCGUAUACGUCCUUCGGGAGAAAGAUUUAUCGGAGAUGGAUGAGCCCGCGUUGGAUUAGCUAGUUGGUGGGGUAAAGGCCUACCAAGGCGACGAUCCAUAGCUGGUCUGAGAGGAUGAUCAGCCACACUGGGACUGAGCACACGGCCCAGACUCCUACGGGAGGCAGCAGUGGGGAAUAUUGGACAAUGGGCGCAAGCCUGAUCCAGCCAUGCCGCGUGAGUGAUGAAGGCCCUAGGGUUGUAAAGCUCUUUCACCGGUGAAGAUAAUGACGGUAACCGGAGAAGAAGCCCCGGCUAACUUCGUGCCAGCAGCCGCCGCAGUAA
rnacentral:rRNA from 1 species